AGUGAACGCUGGCGGUAGGCCUAAUACAUGCAAGUCGAACGGCAGCACAGUAAGAGCUUGCUCUUACGGGUGGCGAGUGGCGGACGGGUGAGGAAUACAUCGGAAUCUACUUUUUCGUGGGGGAUAACGUAGGGAAACUUACGCUAAUACCGCAUACGACCUACGGGUGAAAGCAGGGGAUCUUCGGACCUUGCGCGAUUGAAUGAGCCGAUGUCGGAUUAGCUAGUUGGCGGGGUAAAGGCCCACCAAGGCGACGAUCCGUAGCUGGUCUGAGAGGAUGAUCAGCCACACUGGAACUGAGUCACGGUCCAGACUCCUACGGGAGGCAGCAGUGGGGAAUAUUGGACAAUGGGCGCAAGCCUGAUCCAGCCAUGCCGCGUGGGUGAAGAAGGCCUUCGGGUUGUAAAGCCCUUUUGUUGGGAAAGAAAAGCAGCAGGUUAAUACCCCGCUGUUCUGACGGUACCCAAAGAAUAAGCACCGGCUAACUUCGUG
rnacentral:rRNA from 1 species